GCCCUAAUAGCUUAAUCCCUAAAGCAUUGGUCUUGUAAAUCAAAGAUUGAAGGUAAAAAUCUUCUUAGAGCU
rnacentral:tRNA from 1 species